UCUCUAGUAGCUCAGUGGCAGAGCUCUUGGCUGUUAACCAAAUGGUCGUUGGUUCGAUUCCAGCCUAGAGAG
rnacentral:tRNA from 1 species